ACCUGUGCUCUCACUGGGUCCCUGGAAACUUCUAUGGCCUGUGGGGAGAGGUGGCAUGGUGGACAGAGAAUGGGUUGGUGGUUGUCUGUGCACAGAAACAUGAGGCCCUCAGAGGGCAGAGGCCAGCAUCUUCCAUGGACCCCCAGUGCCUUCUUGAGACCCAACCAGCUGCCCAGCUAUGGGUUCCAUCCUGCCAGAAAGGUGAGCCUCCACAGGCCCUUGAAGGGAAGGCUCCUCUGUCCACUAACCUGCGGCAGGCUCCAACGGUCAGGACAGCAGGCUCCAACAGUCAAGAUCAAGCCAGAACCUCCAGCUUAGAAGCACCAUUGGGACCUGAGUCAGGACUGGCCACCCUGCCCAGCUGAACCAGAGCCCCAAGUGUAGCCCCCUGAGUGUCUACUAACCAUGUGUCACCAUAAAAGUGGACACUUAUUAAACUCUUAUUGUGUGCAUA